GAUGAAGAACGCAGCGAAAUGCGAUAAGUAAUGUGAAUUGCAGAAUUCAGUGAAUCAUCGAAUCUUUGAACGCAUCUUGCGCUCCUUGGUAUUCUGAGGAGCAUGCCUGUUUGAGUGUCAUUAAAUUCUCAACUACACUGACUUUGAAUUGGUGUGGCUUGGAUUUGGGGGGAAAAUUGUUGUGGGCUUUUUGUAUAGUCUGCUCCCCUGAAAUUGAUUAGCGGUACCUUUGUGGAACUGUCUACAGGUGUGAUAAUUAUCUACAUCUUAGACAUCUGCUGGAAUGCUGCUUUCUAGACCUUACUUGUAUUGACAAUCUUGACCUCAAAUCAGGUAGGACUACCCGCUGAACUUAAGCAUAUCAAUAAGCGGAGGA
rnacentral:misc_RNA from 1 species